rnacentral:rRNA from 1 species
AAUGAACGUUGGCGGCAUGGAUUAGGCAUGCAAGUCGGGGGAAUCCCAGCAAUGGGGGAACCGGCGUAAGGGGCAGUAAGGCAUGGGUACCUACCUUGGGGUUCGGGAUAGCCAUCAGAGAUGGUGGGUAAUACCGGAUGACGUCGUGAGACCAAAGAUUUAUCGCCCUUAGAGGGGCCCAUGUGAUAUUAGCUAGUUGGUGGGGUAACGGCCCACCAAGGCGAAGAUGUCUAGCGGGUGUGAGAGCACGACCCGCGCCACUCGCACUGAGACAGUGGGGAGACACCUACGGGUGGCUGCAGGCGAGGAUCUUCGGCAAUGAGCGCAAGCUUGACCGAGCGAUGCCGCGUGAGCGAUGAAGGCCUUCGGGUUGUAAAGCUCUUUAGUGGGGGAGAAAAGCCGCAAGGUGUGAUCUAUCCCAAAAAUAAGCACGGGCUAAGUUCGUGCCAGCCGCCGCGGUAA